GAUGCGCUGUUGAAAAUUUACCGAUAUUGAGACGAUAUUGUUGAACUUGAUUUCGACUGCCAUUGUGAUUUCAAGAAAAAUAAUAAGCGACAAAAAUUUAAUCUGGCGCCAAAAGUGUGUAUUGGAUGUUGUCGUAAAGAAAGAGAGAGGUUCCCGGUAAAACAAUUGAUACAUAGCAUGACGACAGAAGCGCAGUAUACAUUUGCUACAUGCGCAGGAGGGUACAAGCAAGACGCCAUUUGGCAUUUCAUGAAAGGUCACACUAUGUGAUGUUACCCUUCAACUAUUGCGGCGUUGGAUUUGCAUCUAGGCGACAACUACAGAGACACAGAUGCAAUGCACACGGAGACGCAACGAAGUUUGUUUGUCUUAAUUAUGUUUUGAUCCAAGAUGACAUCCAAGUUGGACAUUCGUGUUUCAGACGUCUCGUCUUGGUACGCUUGCUACGCUUUCUGAAUUGGAGAGUUGGUUUUGAUCUCAUGAUUCCUACAAAGGAAAUAUAAAUAUUGUAAGAAAACAAAACAAUUAAGGUUUAUAAUAGUUCAAAUUUGAUCUUGGAAAUAAUAAUCAUUUAUCUUUAGUUUAUUUAAUGCUUUAUCUUUUUUAUUUACAUCACGAAAAAAUGCUUCAACUGGAAUUCGUUGCUUUUCAUGUUAGCCAAACAUUUUGUGUACCUUGGAUAUCUUAAUAUAUGGUGUUUUAUGAUAUGUUUUCCGGACCAAACACAUCGUAUAUGGAAUUAUUGCCCAGAUAUAUUAGUGCACUGCAAAAAGGCAUAUAAAACGCAUAGUUUUGAAGAUUUAAAAUGUGCUUGCCGUGCUUUCAUUUAUCGCAACGUAAACACUGUCAAUUUGCCUCGAAUGAUAGACUAAACUACUCGUCAUAUUCAUAUUACCGGGAAUACUACUUAACUUUACCUA